CCAUACUCCCAUCUGUCAUGGCAGCUGCAGCAAGCCUCACCCAAGGAGAGUCUGGCUGGAGGCCAAACAACACAAAACCAGCACACUUAACAAAAAUAUAACCAAUGACCCUCGCAGAGUCCACUUAACUCCCCUCCACCAGAGCAGGUGCUGGUAUCCACAGCUGAGAGACCUGAAGAUGGAUCACAUCACAGGACUCCUUGCAGACAUUCUCCAGUACCAGCCCAGAGCCUGGGAAGAUGCAACAGGAAGGUCCUCACAAGAUGGCUGAGCAGAUGCAGGUGCUGUGCCUCUGGACUGCCUAGCCUCCAGAACCUACUCGAGAAAGCCUGGCUCAGAGCCUCAGAGCUGCCCACUGGACCCACAGCUGAUCGUAGAUGCAUGUGUGAGCCCAACCAGAACCAGAAGAUCUCCCGGCAGACCCAUAGACUCAGGAAAAAUAAAAAAGGUUACUGCUUAA